rnacentral:rRNA from 1 species
GAUGAACGCUGGCGGCGUGCUUAACACAUGCAAGUCGAACGAUGAAGCCCAGCUUGCUGGGUGGAUUAGUGGCGAACGGGUGAGUAACACGUGAGUAACCUGCCCUUAACUCUGGGAUAAGCCUGGGAAACUGGGUCUAAUACCGGAUAGGAGCGUCCACCGCAUGGUGGGUGUUGGAAAGAUUUAUCGGUCUUGGAUGGACUCGCGGCCUAUCAGCUUGUUGGUGAGGUAAUGGCUCACCAAGGCGACGACGGGUAGCCGGCCUGAGAGGGUGACCGGCCACACUGGGACUGAGACACGGCCCAGACUCCUACGGGAGGCAGCAGUGGGGAAUAUUGCACAAUGGGCGCAAGCCUGAUGCAGCGACGCCGCGUGAGGGAUGACGGCCUUCGGGUUGUAAACCUCUUUCAGUAGGGAAGAAGCGAAAGUGACGGUACCUGCAGAAGAAGCACCGGCUAACUACGUG